UUGUCCCAAUGAUGUCAGCACUGGGCUCUGAAACCAAUGAGUGAUACCUGUGCCCCCUGUCUUGACAUGCAGUGGGACUGAGGGACAA
rnacentral:snoRNA from 1 species